ACAGUGAAUCGCAUUAUACCGCUGAGCCAUGUUUACACAGGGGAGGCAAAUCACAUAAUUGAAGAGUGUCACACACUGAUCCAGACAAUAUUUAAAUGUAAAUAUGACAUUGCCAAAGUGUCUCUGAAAUCCAUGCUGUAAUCAUACCGGUCUAUGAAUAGCUCUAUAUUUGCACUGCAGGCUGAGUGCAGCAGUUAAGCAAAGAUGAUUUCCUAGAACUCUCCUCAACUCCAGUAGCGUAAAAAACAAUGUUCUAUCACGGCAGCUCUGAGACGAUGUUGAGGGGUAAGCAACGGUGCGAAGAAAAUCAGUGCUACCUUUGAGUGAAGACAUCAGACUUUACCUCCAACUCAAACUUCUGAAAGAAAGGGCAAAGUGAGCGAAAGAAAGAAGAUAUCAGGACCAAGGAUAAGAGCUGACGAAGCAGACUAUGAUGGAAAGAAAGGGAAGCCAGAAGGAGCAAGAGGAAAAAGGCAGAAUGGGAGAGACGAGCAGGGCAACCGAAAAGGCAGAAGAGCCGCCAAAAGGCAGGCCUUCGUGGUAAAUCCAGAGACAGACAGGGUGGAGAGAGACUGAGACAGAGGAUGAGGCAGGGAGAAAUGCGGAUGUGCUGAGGGGAACAGAAAUGAAUAAAAGAUGGAGGGAGACAGUUAGGAUCGAAAGGUAUCCGAGGUAAAAGAAAAAGAGUCAACUGUGCCAGACAGGGUCCCUGUUACAGCUGAGAUGGAGUAGAAUUUUGUCAUCUGUCUAGCUCUUUCUAUGUUAUUUUUCAGCUAGCCUGCCAGGUGUAACCCACUAACUGUCACUUUGUGAACAUGCCCAAGGCUGAAAAAAUGAUCAGAAAUACUAACCCACCAGUCUGCUACCUAACAUAUAUCUGAAACCAGGGACUCAUAUUCAGAGGAUAAAUCCAAAGUGAAUCUUAUUUUUCUUUUUUUUUCUGGCCAAAUUCUUUUUGGUAAUGAUAAUUUGGUCCUUACCAAGGAGAAACAAACACAUGUUGCUGGCACAUAGAAGUACACAAGCCAACAAGUCAAGCCAAGCUUCAUUAUUUAGAGAGGAAGUCUAAAGUGAAUGCACCUGAAACAAUCUGUCAAUAAACAGCUGCACACUACAGCUCAGCUACAUUGGUUGUAGUUAUAGAUGAUGUACUCAUGCACUACCACAGUAAGUGCAGUAGGCUGAAGUUGU